rnacentral:rRNA from 1 species
GACGAACGCUGGCGGCGUGCUUAACACAUGCAAGUCGAACGGAAAGGCCCCUUUGGGGGUACUCGAGUGGCGAACGGGUGAGUAACACGUGAGUAACCUGCCCUUGACUUCGGGAUAACUUCAGGAAACUGGGGCUAAUACCGGAUAGGAAUCCUUGCUGCAUGGUGGGGGUUGGAAAGCUUCGGCGGUUUUGGAUGGACUCGCGGCUUAUCAGCUUGUUGGUGAGGUAGUGGCUUACCAAGGCUUUGACGGGUAGCCGGCCUGAGAGGGCGACCGGCCACAUUGGGACUGAGAUACGGCCCAGACUCCUACGGGAGGCAGCAGUGGGGAAUAUUGCACAAUGGGCGGAAGCCUGAUGCAGCAACGCCGCGUGCGGGAUGACGGCCUUCGGGUUGUAAACCGCUUUCAGCAGGGGCGAAGCUUGUGGUGACGGUACCUGCAGAAGAAGCACCGGCUAACUACGUG